GACGAACGCUGGCGGCGUGCUUAACACAUGCAAGUCGAACGGAAAGGCCCUUCGGGGUGCUCGAGUGGCGAACGGGUGAGUAACACGUGGGUGAUCUGCCCUGCACUUUGGGAUAAGCCUGGGAAACUGGGUCUAAUACCGAAUACGAUCAUCAGCUUCAUGGUUGGUGGUGGAAAGCUUUUGCGGUGUGGGAUGGGCCCGCGGCCUAUCAGCUUGUUGGUGGGGUAAUGGCCUACCAAGGCGACGACGGGUAGCCGGCCUGAGAGGGUGACCGGCCACACUGGGACUGAGAUACGGCCCAGACUCCUACGGGAGGCAGCAGUGGGGAAUAUUGCACAAUGGGCGCAAGCCUGAUGCAGCGACGCCGCGUGAGGGAUGACGGCCUUCGGGUUGUAAACCUCUUUCAGCACAGACGAAGCGCAAGUGACGGUAUGUGCAGAAGAAGGACCGGCCAACUACGUGCCAGCCGCCGCAGUAAAAC
rnacentral:rRNA from 1 species